rnacentral:rRNA from 1 species
CACGUAGGCGGCUUUUUAAGUCAGAGGUGAAAUCCUGGAGCUCAACUCCAGAACUGCCUUUGAUACUGAGGAGCUUGAGUUCGGGAGAGGUGAGUGGAACUGCGAGUGUAGAGGUGAAAUUCGUAGAUAUUCGCAAGAACACCAGUGGCGAAGGCGGCUCACUGGCCCGAUACUGACGCUGAGGUGCGAAAGCGUGGGAGCAAACA